UACAGAGGGUGCAAGCGUUGUUCGGAAUUAUUGGGCGUAAAGCGCGUGUAGGCGGCUUUGCAAGUCGGGUGUGAAAGCCCUCAGCUCAACUGAGGAAGUGCGCCCGAAACUGCAGAGCUUGAGUACCGGAGAGGGUAGCGGAAUUCCCCAAGUAGAGGUGAAAUUCGUAGAUAUGGGGAGGAACACCGGUGGCGAAGGCGGCUACCUGGACGGUCACUGACGCUGAGACGCGAAAGCGUGGGUAGCAAACAGG
rnacentral:rRNA from 1 species